ensembl:processed_transcript 5033403H07Rik RIKEN cDNA 5033403H07 gene
GACAAGUUAGAGAGCAGGCCAGGAAAACAGGAGCAGGAAGAAUUGGGAGCAGAUUUUAUAAAGAAUGGAGGACCAAAAGCAAAGCUGCCCUCCAUCCCGGAAGAGUCCGAAGGACCUUCUACAAAAUGAGGGACUCACGUGGCCUCAGACUCGCUCUCUAGCCAAGGGUAACCUCUAACUUGCUGAGCCUCUAGGAAGACCACAGCAGAUACCCAAGCUCUCUGCAAAAGCUCCUCAAAUUCCAAUCUCUUCUGGACCCUUCAAGUGCUGGGAUUGCAGGUGAAGCCCAUGUUUGUGUAUGUGAGUGAAUAGCACAUAUGUGCAGGUAUCCUGGAAGCCAGAGAGGGUUGAGGACUUGGAACUAGAGUGAUAAAUAGUUGUGAGCCAUUUGGAGUGGGUACUAGAAACCAAAAUCCGAUCCUCCCCCGGAAAAGCAAGUGU